rnacentral:rRNA from 1 species
AUUGAACGCUGGCGGCAGGCUUAACACAUGCAAGUCGAGCGAGCGGCGGACGGGUGAGUAAUGUCUGGGAAACUGCCUGAUGGAGGGGGAUGACGACUGGAAACGGUAGCUAAUACAGCAUACCAUCGGAUGUGCACAGAUGGGAUUAGCGAGUAGGUGGGGUAAUGGCUCACCUUGGCGACGAUCCCUAGCUGGUCUGAGAGGAGGACCAGCAACACGGGAACUGAGACACGGUCCAGACUCCUACGGGAGGCAGCAGUUGGGAAUAUUGCACAAUGGGCGCAAGCCUGAUGCAGCCAUGCCGCGUGUGUGAAGAAGGCCUUCGGGGUGUAAAGCACUUUCAGCGAGGAGGCGUUACUCGCAGAAGAAGCACCGGCUAACUCCGUGCCAGCAGCCGCGGUAAUUC